UAAGACGAACCGUCCUAACGUUGUUCGGAAUCACUGGGCUUAAAGGGCGCGUAGGCGGCCCGUCGAGUCGGGGGUGAAAUCCCACGGCCCAACCGUGGAAGGGCCUCCGAUACUGACGGGCUCGAGGGAGGUAGGGGCAGGUGGAACUUCCGGUGGAGCGGUGAAAUGCGUUGAUAUCGGAAGGAACGCCGGUGGCGAAAGCGACCUGCUGGACCUCUUCUGACGCUGAGGCGCGAAAGCCAGGGGAGCGAACGGGAUUAGAUACCCCGGUAGUCCUGGCCCUAAACGAUGGGUACUAGGUUGUGGACUGGUCAUGGGUUCACAGCCGAAGCAAAAGUGUUAAGUACCCCGCCUGGGGAGUAUGGUCGCAAGGCUG
rnacentral:rRNA from 1 species